CAUUGGUAUUUAAAUUGAUUUAGUUUUUAAAAUUCCCUCAAAUUAUUCAAAAUGGCGGCUCUUGAGACCGGAAAUGCCCAGUUUUGAUGAUCGGUUAAUAAACUAACAGGUUGUAAGGAAAGAAAAUAUUACUAAAAUUUGUUUCAAUUAAAUGCAGAAUUCUUUAGAUAAUAUUAAGUAAAUAAUAUUGUUUUUUAACUAAAAUAAAUUUUAAAGAUUUAUCCCGGUAUUAAUCGUGGCUGUAUCGUGAUUGGCCAAAAUUUCAAACUUUGACUUUCGUGAAUUCUGAUUGGACAAUUGCCAUUCCGCCAUCAAAUUUUGAAAUGGGCAAAGAAGACAGGAGUUGUUGUGAAGAUUUUCCUGAUUUUUUCAAGAAAUAUUCAGAAUCACAGCGUGUUGUAUGUAGUAAUGAAACUGCAAGCAGUGGUUUCAUAAAGAUAGACAUGCUUAAGACCUGGAUGAUAUGGCUUUAGUUGUGGAUGACCAUUUCCAUUCAGGAAAAAAUUCCAACCAAGUCCAGCUAGCAGACUGUACACCAGAUUGAAGAUACAUCAUUAAUACAAGAUGAAAAAAAUUAAUGGAGGACGAGGAUAAUACUAUGAAAGAGAUCAGAUGCAAGAGCAACCGUUCCCAUAGAAAUACAUGCAGCCAUGUAAACAGAAACCAGUUUUCACCUGCCAGGUGCUGGUCACACAUAUAUUCAACUUGGAAGUUCAACAGAUUCAAGAAACAGAUCCAGUUGUUUGCUGAUAAAUUACUGCAGGUC